rnacentral:rRNA from 1 species
CAGCCGCCGCGGUAAUACGUAGGGGGCGAGCGUUGUCCGGAAUUAUUGGGCGUAAAGCGCGCGCAGGCGGUCCUUUAAGUCUGAUGUGAAAGCCCACGGCUCAACCGUGGAGGGUCAUUGGAAACUGGGGGACUUGAGUGCAGGAGAGGAGAGCGGAAUUCCACGUGUAGCGGUGAAAUGCGUAGAGAUGUGGAGGAACACCAGUGGCGAAGGCGGCUCUCUGGCCUGUAACUGACGCUGAGGCGCGAAAGCGUGGGGAGCAAACAGGAUUAGAUACCCUGGUAGUCGACGCCGUAAACGAUGAGUGCUAAGUGUUAGAGGGGUCACACCCUUUAGUGCUGCAGCUAACGCGAUAAGCACUCCGCCUGGGGAGUACGGCCGCAAGGCUGAAACUUAAAGGAAUUGGCGGG